AAUAUUGCGCAAUGGGGGGAACCCUGACGCAGCAACGCCGCGUGAGUGAAGAAGGCCUUCGGGUCGUAAAGCUCUGUCAUUAGGGAAGAAGUCUAAUGUACGAAUAAUACAUUAGGUGACGGUACCUAAGGAGGAAGCCACGGCUAACUACGUGCCAGCAGCCGCGGUAACACGUAGGUGGCAAGCGUUGUCCGGAAUUACUGGGCGUAAAGGGCGUGUAGGUGGUCUAACAAGUCAGGUGUGAAACUCCGGGGCUUAACUCCGGGCAUGCAUUUGAAACUGUUAGACUUGAGGGCAAGAGAGGAAAGUGGAAUUCCUAGUGUAGCGGUGAAAUGCGUAGAUAUUAGGAGGAACACCAGUGGCGAAGGCGACUUUCUGGAUUGACCCUGACACUGAGGCGCGAAAGCGUGGGUAGCAAAC
rnacentral:rRNA from 1 species